CCUACGGGAGGCAGCAGUGAGGAAUAUUGGUCAAUGGGCGCGAGCCUGAACCAGCCAAGUCGCGUGCGGGAAGACGGUCCUAUGGAUUGUAAACCUCUUUUGUCGGGGAGCAAAAGACGCCACGCGUGGCGUUCCGAGAGUACCCGAAGAAAAAGCAUCGGCUAACUCCGUGCCAGCAGCCGCGGUAAUACGGAGGAUGCGAGCGUUAUCCGGAUUUAUUGGGUUUAAAGGGUGCGCAGGCGGAAUAUCAAGUCAGCGGUAAAAUUGAGGGGCUCAACCUGUUCGAGCCGUUGAAACUGGUGUUCUUGAGUGUGUGAGAGGUAUGCGGAAUGCGUGGUGUAGCGGUGAAAUGCAUAGAUAUCACGCAGAACUCCGAUUGCGAAGGCAGCAUACCGGCGCUCAACUGACGUUCAUGCACGAAAGUGUGGGUAUCGAACAGGAUUAGAUACCCCUGUAGUC
rnacentral:rRNA from 1 species